CAACUCUUUCCCUUCACAAAUAUCAACCUAUAUCUUUAACAACAUUCGUCUGAUAACAUAUUAUGAAUAUACUUAAUUCAAAAUAUAACUUUCAACAACGGAUCUCUUGGCUCUCGCAUCGAUGAAGAACGCAGCGAAAUGCGAUACGUAAUGUGAAUUGCAGAAUUCAGUGAAUCAU
rnacentral:rRNA from 1 species